ensembl:lncRNA uncharacterized LOC115604244
GGAACGGUCACGAGUGGAGGCCCUCGGCGGGGCCGGCUCCCGCGGGGGAAACGGGGUCCCACAGCCGGACGGGCUCCGGGGAGGGCGGGGGUAGGAGGAAUGAUCGGCAUUUAUAACUGCGGGGGAAGCUCGCAGCCUUUCAAAGAGUUUCAUCUGGGCCUUGCUGCAAACCGAUUCCAAGUCUGCUCCUUCAAUCCACCGGCAGCUCAGGGGCCCGAGAAGCUGGCUGUCCCUACGAGGCUCCCCGGCACCCACCUGGGGGGACAUGUUCCUCCCUAAACGGGCCCUGUCUUUUUUUUUUUUUUUUGGGUCUUUUUUUUUUUUUUUUUUUUCUAACCGCCUAAAGGAAAGGUAGAGAGAGAGGAAAACAAAAUGUCUUAUCCAGAGCGUGACUCUCGCAAGAAGGCUCCGGCGGGACUCUUGUUUCAAAGGGGACAAAGUGCUCCAGCACCAGCACAACUUUGAGAAAUGCAUCAUCACCACCAUCACCACCAUCAUCAUCACAGGAAGUUUUCUUAGGACACCAACAACAAAACUUGCGAAUAAAAGAGCAAAAGGAGAUCGAGGAGCCGAGGAGAGCGAGAAAGACGCGGAGAGAGAAAGAGACAGAGGGGAAAGGAAAAAAAAAAAAAAGGAAAAUAUACCCACACACAAAGCCUUAAAGGAAGAAGAAAAGGAAAAGUUUCGCCCUGAGAGGGGAAGGCUGAGAGGUGGAGAUGUACUCCUAGGGGAGCCGAGGGGAGAAGGCACGGGGGCUUUUUGAUCCCCCCCCCCCCUUCUUUUUCGCUUUUUAGCCUUUGUUUGGUUUCCUCCCUGCGAGCUGCAAACUCGGGCGAGAAGGCGGCGGAGGAAAAAUAGAUGUACAGCUAAAUAUUUCUCCUUGUUUUUGGAAAAAGACGGAAAAAAAAAAGAAGA